UUACGGCCAUAUCCCGUUAAAACACUAGUACUCGUACGAUCACCGAAGUAAAGCAAUGUCGAGCCUGGUCAGUACCUAAAUGGAUGAUCGCAUGUGGAUACCAGGUGCU